UGCAGUGAUGAUUGCUUUAUUUCUGACACCUCUUGUACGAGAAGCGCCAUUGUUGCACUUCGCUGAGCAGAUUGCAGCAAACAUAUCUGAGCA
rfam:Triticum urartu cultivar G1812 contig946886, whole genome shotgun sequence.